rfam:Fukomys damarensis contig155164, whole genome shotgun sequence.
AUCGUUUCUCAGCCCUUUGGCUAAGGUCAAGUGUAGUAUCUGUUCUUAAAAGUUUAAUAAAUGAUGAGAACCAGGAGAGUGAUCCAGAGGUUGGGGAUUCUCCCUUAAAUUAAGUGUAUCUUCAGCCCUUAAAUAUUGUGCUUUAGGAAAUAGCUCCUUCUGUUCUUACCCAGAAGUUGGUUCUUCGCACA